CGGCAACAGCUCAAAUUUGAAAUCUGGCCCUAGGCCCGAGUUGUAAUUUGCAGAGGAUGCUUUUGGUGAGGUGCCUUCCGAGUUCCCUGGAACGGGACGCCAUAGAGGGUGAGAAUCCCGUACGUGGUCG
rnacentral:rRNA from 1 species